AAUGAACGCUGGCGGCAGGCCUAACACAUGCAAGUCGAACGGCAGCACGGACUUCGGUCUGGUGGCGAGUGGCGAACGGGUGAGUAAUGUAUCGGAACGUGCCCAGUCGUGGGGGAUAACGUAGUGAAAAUUACGCUAAUACCGCAUACGAUCUAUGGAUGAAAGCGGGGGAUCGCAAGACCUCGCGCGAUUGGAGCGGCCGAUAUCAGAUUAGGUAGUUGGUGGGGUAAAGGCCCACCAAGCCAACGAUCUGUAGCUGGUCUGAGAGGACGACCAGCCACACUGGAACUGAGACACGGUCCAGACUCCUACGGGAGGCAGCAGUGGGGAAUUUUGGACAAUGGGCGAAAGCCUGGUCCAGCCAUUCCGCGUGAGUGAAGAAGGCCUUCGGGUUGUAAAGCUCUUUCGGCAGGGAAGAAACGGUCUAGGUUAAUACCUUGGGCUAAUGACGGUACCUGAAGAAGAAGCACCGGCUAACUACGUGCCAGCCGCCGCAGUAA
rnacentral:rRNA from 1 species